rnacentral:misc_RNA from 1 species
GAUGAAGAACGUAGCGAAAUGCGAUAAGUAAUGUGAAUUGCAGAAUUCAGUGAAUCAUCGAAUCUUUGAACGCACCUUGCGCCCGCCAGUAUUCUGGCGGGCAUGCCUGUUCGAGCGUCAUUUCAACCAUCAAGCCCCGGGCUUGGUGUUGGGGAUCGGCGAGCCUCCGCGCCCGCCGUCCCCUAAAUCUAGUGGCGGUCUCGCUGUAGCUUCCUCUGCGUAGUAGCACACCUCGCACUGGGAAACAGCGCGGCCACGCCGUUAAACCCCCAACUUCUGAACGUUUGACCUCGGAUCAGGUAGGAAUACCCGCUGAACUUAAGCAUAUCAAUAAGCGGAGGA